GCGGAAGGCUGGAUGGUCGCUGCGCGGUGCAAGCCGCGGGGAGGAAAGUCCGGACUCCAGAAAGUGACGGUGCCGGGUAACGCCCGGGCGGGGCAACCCGACGGAAAGCGCCACAGAAAUGAAACCACCCCGCGUGCGGGGAACGGGUGAAACGGUGGGGUAAAAGCCCACCGCGGCGGUGGCAACAUCGCCGGCAGGGCAAGCCCCACCGGGAGCAAUGCCAAAUAGGGACCGCGUGCCGGGAAACCGGCGGGGAGGCUUUGACCCCAGCAGGUCCGGGUUGGCAGCUAGAGGCGCGUCGGCAACGGCGGGCCAAGAUGAAUGACCAUCCACGGGGGGCGUGCCCCCUGGGACAGAAUCCGGCUUACAGGCCUUCCGCACAC
rnacentral:RNase_P_RNA from 1 species